rnacentral:sRNA from 1 species
AUAUCUUGUUAGGUGAGGUUACUGUAUUAAAAUAUGCCACUGCCCAGAAAUGUCCAGAGACACCAAUGGGUUAGCAGAUACUAUCGAAUUAAGGUUUUAUUUAAUGUGGCUGAGAAAUAUUCUCUACGUUUUACAGAGCUAAAACUCAACGAGUAUG